ACAAAAAAACAAAAAGAUGAUGGUCCAAUGUACAACCGUGUGAAUGUUUGGUACGGAUGACAUUUCAGUGCAGCUGCUGGUGAAAUGUCUUUUUAACAUUUCUAACAUCGAACCAACCAGACUGCAGAUCUGUUGAUUUUAGAGGUUGGAUUGUAGAACAGAGAGACAUCCUGGUAAAGAUAUUGAUUUUUGAGAAGUACAUACGAAGAAAUGGAAUUUGAAGUUUAUCUUAAUGUGAUGAUUUGGAUGGACGUCCGUGUUUGUUUCCCCUUCACUCUGCUGGCCAUCGGUUUGUGUCGCAUGGUUCAUUUUGACAACCUUCCUCCCAUCUACUACACAAACCUCCUCACCGCCAAUGCAGUCCAGCUCAUCACUCUGAUUGCUACUGUUGAAACAAAAGAUGGACGUUUUCCAAAUUCCACAUGUCUCAUAAUCUACGGUGGUGUUGUGAUGGUCAGUCUGUACCUCAGGAUGAUCAUCGCCCUGGAAAGGUAACAACUCUUAAAAUCAUAAACAAUCAGGGUUGCAGAGUUUUGGCAGAGAUAUUUACAGAUUUUCUCUGUUUUGUGUUGCAGGUGUUUUUUCAUCAUCCAGCUGCCUUUCAUCAGACAAACUAAAUAUUCUUUAAUAAUCUGUGUUUCUGUCUGGGUUUUCUGCAUGGGGCUUUUUCCUCUUCUGGUAUUUUUUCGCCACUUUUCAGUCAUCUUUGUUUUUGCUCUCAUUCCUUCUAUCAUCUUCCUCUUGUGUCCACUCGGGGCCUUCAUAUCUCUGCCUAGAGCCGCCUCAGGAUCUCCGGAAGGAAAACGUAGAAUAAUUGCAACUUUUGUUCUGUUGCUGAUUAAUUACUCUGUAACAAUUGUCCCACCAGUUAGUUUUUUGACCUUUAGAUCAGAUUAUUAUUAUAUGUAUGAGGAUACACAGUUUUUUGUGACCUUGUUUCUGCUCAGUCCUUUCAUGGAUCUGCUUCUGUUCGUUUUCUUGCGUGAAGGCCCCGUCGACAAGCUGCUGGCCUGUUUCUGCUGCUGCAAGAUGGAAACACCUGCAGUAGAAGAUGGCAGCAGAUUAUCUAUCUGAAAUAAAAGGAGAGACCAAGCAAAUGAGCAAAAUAUUACAUUACUAAUGUUACAUUACUUUUAGCUCUACUAAUAUUAAUGUCACAGCAAUCAGCCUUUAACAAAUGAUGUAAACUCAUUUCUCAAUCUUUAGAUCAGAUGCAGAAUUUUAGCCCCGUAUAACUGUAACAGGGCACUGCCUGAAUUAAAAAAAGUUUGACAUAAACAUAUUAAUCCAUUUAGAAUCAAAUAUGAUUUUUUUUCCAGCUUGUAUGUAUAUGUGGAAAUGAAAAUGAUUUUGUCAAAAAGAGGAGUUGAAUUUUAUUGAAAUAGUUCAAAAUCAAUAGUAAUUUAUCAGCCAGUAAAAAUGUAAGUUAGAAAAUAAACAAAAUAUCUAAAUUAGUUACUUUAUAUUAAUAAGUGACAGUCAGUCUGUGCAUCAGUCUCUAUUUAUAGGACAGUUGUUUUUGUUGCAUCAUAGGCAUAGCAGAACUGCUAGAGUUUGAGCUCUAGGCUCAUUAUUCCUGUGAUUUGGAGCUUUAAUGUUGGUGAUACAAUCUCCCUGCAAACACCUUCUAACAGCGCCUUCAUCACAAACUGAUGUUAUUAAUCUGUAGAUUUAAUAAAUGUUUCACGUCACUGUGGGGGAACUUUCACCUGUUCUUUGUGACAGUGAUGCUUCAGUUGAUUAAGGUUUGCAGAUAUUUGUUUUGCUCAUAAGGUCCAAAAAAGAAGCCAAGCAUCCUGUCACACCUGCAGCUGAUCCACUUUGGUUCGAUUUGUCCAAACCGCAUCAUUCCAGAAAUCUUGUGGUUUAUUCAAAUGAAACAGUAAACCAUUGUUGUGCUGUUGUGUUUUUGGAGAGACAAAAACUGCCUCCAUCAAACCAUCAAGUUUUUCUCCUCCACUUCUUUUUUAAUGCUUUGCUUUAACAUUGAACACAUUAGUUGAGUCCUGCAGAGUCUCAGAGUCUGGGGUUGAUCUGUUGUUGUCCAGUGUGACCUUGUAGAGGAUUUGUUGUGAUCUUAACCUUACAACACAAUUCUGUAAAUUUAUUCAGUGUCCUGCAGCUUUUAUAUGUGUCCCUGGUCCAACCUGCAUCAAGCAGCUGAAUCACCUCCUGAAAUGUGAAAGUUCUUCAGAGUCCUGAUCAGGUGGGUUGAAGCAGAGACACUUCUGAAGGUUACAGGACACUGACCUCCAAGGACUGGAGUUGAAGACCUCUGCUUUAGAAAAUGUAUGGAUGUUUUUACUUGUGAAUAAUUUUCUCUUAGUAGGGUAAUUAAUUGAAAAUGGUUUUCCAUAUUUCUUCUCAGGUUGAUAUUCAGAAACUGUGACUCCUUUAAUAUCAUUAUGGAUAUAAUUUUGCUUCGUCUGUGAACAACAACAAAGAUGAUGUUCAGUUAAUAGAUUGAUCAUUACCAGAAAUAAUCAGAAACUUGCAGAUAUUUUUCCUCUUAUUUUCAUAGGAAGCUGUGAGUAUUUAGAUUUUUUUAUGACUAAACUUAAAAAAACGUGUUUUUUUUUUUACUCCUGUUACAUUUAGAAGACAAUGCUAGAAUCUUCAAUCACUUCUUGAUAUUUUAUGAUGAUGUGUGUGGUUGUGUGUGCAACCUUUAUAAUCUGUGUACGUUGUUGCUGAAUAAAUGCUGAACCCUGUGACCCGC